rnacentral:rRNA from 1 species
GAUGAACGCUGGCGGCGUGCCUAAUACAUGCAAGUCGAACGCAUAUCUUCGGAUAUGAGUGGCGAACGGGUGAGUAAUACAUAAGUAACCUGGCCUUAAGAGGGGGAUAACUAUUAGAAAUGAUAGCUAAGACCGCAUAGGUAUGAAGAUCGCAUGAUCGACAUAUUAAAUAUCCCACGGGAUAGCUGAAGGAUGGACUUAUGGCGCAUUAGCUAGUUGGUAGGGUAACGGCCUACCAAGGCGACGAUGCGUAGCCGACCUGAGAGGGUGGACGGCCACACUGGGACUGAGACACGGCCCAGACUCCUACGGGAGGCAGCAGUAGGGAAUUUUCGGCAAUGGGGGGAACCCUGACCGAGCAACGCCGCGUGAGGGAGGAAGUAUUUCGGUAUGUAAACCUCUGUUAUAAAGGAAGAACGGAUGCAUGUAGGGAAUGACAUGCAAGUGACGGUACUUUAUGAGGAAGCCACGGCUAACUACGUGCCAGCAGCCGCGGUAAUACGUAGGUGGCGAGCGUUAUCCGGAAUUAUUGGGCGUAAAGAGGGAGCAGGCGGCAGCUAAGGUCUGCGGUGAAAGCCCGAAGCUAAACUUCGGUAAGCCGUGGAAACCGAGCAGCUAGAGUGCAGUAGAGGAUCGUGGAAUUCCAUGUGUAGCGGUGAAAUGCGUAGAUAUAUGGAGGAACACCAGUGGCGAAGGCGACGAUCUGGGCUGCAACUGACGCUCAGUCCCGAAAGCGUGGGGAGCAAAUAGGAUUAGAUACCCUAGUAGUCCACGCCGUAAACGAUGAGUACUAAGUGUUGGGGGUCAAACCUCAGUGCUGCAGUUAACGCAAUAAGUACUCCGCCUGAGUAGUACGUUCGCAAGAAUGAAACUCAAAGGAAUUGACGGGGGCCCGCACAAGCGGUGGAGCAUGUGGUUUAAUUCGAAGCAACGCGAAGAACCUUACCAGGUCUUGACAUCGAUCUAAAGGAUCCAGAGAUGGAUAGAUAGUUAUAGAGAAGACAGGUGGUGCAUGGUUGUCGUCAGCUCGUGUCGUGAGAUGUUGGGUUAAGUCCCGCAACGAGCGCAACCCUUGUCGUUAGUUACCAGCAGUAAGAUGGGGACUCUAGCGAGACUGCCUCUGCAAGGAGGAGGAAGGCGGGGAUGACGUCAAAUCAUCAUGCCCCUUAUGACCUGGGCUACACACGUGCUACAAUGGACGGAUCAAAGGGAAGCGAAGCCGCGAGGUGAAGCGAAACUCAAAAACCCGUUCUCAGUUCGGACUGCAGUCUGCAACUCGACUGCACGAAGUUGGAAUCGCUAGUAAUCGCGAAUCAGAAUGUCGCGGUGAAUACGUUCUCGGGCCUUGUACACACCGCCCGUCACACCAUGAGAGUUGGUAACACCCGAAGCCGGUGGCCUAACCGCAAGGAAGGAGCUGUCUAAGGUGGGACUGAUGAUUGGGGUGAAGUCGUAACAAGGUAUCCCUACGGGAACGUGGGGAUGGAUCACCUCCUUUCUAAGGAGAAGAGAUGUGGAAUCUGUUUAGUUUUGAGUGUCUUGAGAGAGAUACUCGAGGAGAACAUUGAAAACUGGAUAAUCAAGAAAAACUUUUUUACAGAAAAAGAUAGAUGAAGAAACGAGAUCAAGAGAAAGAGAAAAGGUUGAUUCAUCUAGUCAAGAGGUAAUAAAAAAACUAAGAAAAAGCAAACUCGAAACAACACUUUAGGUUAAGUAAGAAAGAGCGUAUGGCGAAUGCCUAGGCACAAAGAGGCGAAGAAGGACGCAGCGAACGGCGAAACGCAACGGGGAGCAGUAAGCAGGCAACGAUCCGUUGAUAUCCGAAUGGGGGAACCCGUCAACCGUCAUGGGUUGACAUCACUUCAUGAAUAAAUAGUGAAGAUGAGGCGAUACGCAGGGAACUGAAACAUCUCAGUACCUGCAGGAGAGGAAAGUAAAAACGAUUCCGUGAGUAGUGGCGAGCGAAAGCGGAGGAGCCCAAACCAUCGAAAAGAUGGGGUUAUAGGACUGUCAAAGAAGCCGAUAGAGAUAUGAUAGGAGAAACAUCUGGGAAGGUGUAACGAAGAGGGUGAAAUUCCCGUAUCCGAAAUCAUAUUGAAGGGGUGAGACAGCACCUGAGUACGUCGGGGCACGUGGAAUCCUGACGGAAUUAUCGAGGACCAUCUCGAAAGGCUAAAUACUCCUUUGUGACCGAUAGUGAACC